AUGGACUCGUCUGUGGAUUUUGGUGUUGGGGGAGUUGGAGUGAGCCAUGGAGUUGUGGCUGUGGUCCAAGUGGAGUUGGGCCCAGUGCAGCUUAAAUCAAGUGACUUUUCAAAUGUGUUACCAGGUGUUGAUGCUCAGACUCUGACAGAAUCUGAACCUGUCAUUAAACGGCCUGGAGAGUCCCACAGAUUGACCUGCACAGUCUCUGGAUUCACACUCAGCAGCUACGUUAUGGUCUGGGUCAGACAGGCUCCUGGAAAAGGACUGGAGUGGAUUGCUUAUGUAGGCCCUUUGGGUUAUCCUGCCUAUUAUCCCCAGACAGCCCAGAGUAGAUUCACCAUUUCCAUCGAUGACUCCAGAAGUGAACUCUACCUACAGAUGAACAGUUUGAAGGCUCUGGACACAGCAGUUUAUUACUGUGCCCGACAAACACAGUGA